rnacentral:misc_RNA from 1 species
CCUCUUUCCAGGCUAGAGACAGAAACCCAGGUUGAGAUUCUAUCAGAGAAUACAAAGAACUGUAAUUGUAGUUCCACAAAAGUAUCUUAGCCUGACUCAUGGCAUAAUGGCUAAGAGCAACUGACUCAAAACCACAACUUUCCAUCAAAACCCUCCACUGCUCUUUAUCCUCAACACGUUCUCUUCUAGUUUCCGCCUCCUCUGGCCCAAUAACACCAGCAAUUCUGCGACCCAGUAACAAUUUCUCAACUUGGAGUCUCUCUGGUGAGUCCCUGCUCAAGUUCGGCUCGAGAGAUUCAAACACAGCAGAGUAGUAUCCCAGAGCGUUUUUGAAACGGUUCACGUAUCCAACCUGAUUCAAACUCGCUUCAUACUCGCCUAAAGUAACAAUCCUCGGGUUCAACGAUUUGGCCAUCCUUAGAGCAGUCUCUACAGCAACUGGAGUCUCAGCCAGUAAAUUAUACAACUGAAGCAUGAAAUUUACUGCUAAAACCUCAUCAGGAUCAACCCGGAAACUGGAUUCGUUCAACUCUUGAAUUGGAGUCAGAAUCGGCUCGAACUCGAAGUUCAAAUCUAG